rnacentral:rRNA from 1 species
GGGAAACUGAGGAUAAUACCCCAUAGGUGUGGUAUGCUGGAAUGCUUCCACGCUGAAAGCCCCGGCGCUUCAGGAUGAGUCUGCGGCCUAUCAGGCUGUAGUGGGUGUAACGGACCCACUAACCUACGACGGGUAGGGGCGUUGAGAGACGGAGCCCCUAGAUGGAUUCUGAGACACGAAUCCAGGCCCUACGGGGCGCAGCAGCUACGAAAACUGCACGAUGUGGGAAACCACGAUGCGGGCAUACCGAGUGCCAACGCUUUGCGUUGGCUGUUCUUUCGCCUAAAAAGCGAGAGAAGUAAGGGCCGGGUAAGACGGGUGCCAGCCGCCGCGGUAAUACCCGCGGCCCGAGUGGUGCUCAUUAUUAUUGAGCUUAAAGCGUCCGUAGCCGGCCUCGUAAAUCUUUGGGUAAAUCGGGCAGCUCAACUGUUCGAAUUCCGAGGAGACUGCGAGGCUCGGGACCGGGGAGAGGUUCGAGGUACUCUCGGGGUAGGGGUAAAAUCCUGUAAUCCUGAGAGGACCACCAGUGGCGAAGGCGUCGAACUAGAACGGAUCCGACGGUGAGGGACGAAGCCCUGGGGCGCAAACGGGAUUAGAUACCCAGGUAGUCCAGGGUGUAAACGCUGCGGGGUUUGGUGUCGGAGGUCCUACGCGGGCGUCCCGGUGCCGGAGAGAAAUUGUUAAACCUGCCGCUUGGGGGAGUACGGUCGCAAGACUGAAACUUAA